AGCUUGAGAGGUACCUCAAGCAGAGAGAACAACUGUCUGGUUGGUAAGUCAGGAUUGCAGUGAGGGUGAAAGGGUUAAUCCCCCUCCCUCCCCCAGUUGCUGUGGUCCCUAUCAUGCUAAGCCAAGGUGGCUAUUCGAGUUUUUUAAAACUUGCAAGUUAAAUGCAAUAACACAUCAAACUCACAUCUAGUUUGGCCCUGUCAGUAAUGACUUUGCAUCAGAUCUUAGAACUGUAGAGUUGGAAGGGACUCUGAGAGUCAUCUAGCCCAACCCCCUGCGAUGCAAGAAUCUCAACUAGAUAAGAUUCCUCUAUCUUGGAGCUUUAUAGCAGACAGUGCUAUAGGACUGGCUCCUUAUGAUCACCUGGUUCCUAAAAUCCUAGGCUUCGGGCCCACUGUUGGCUUGACUACCGGCAGAGUGUAAUUGUGUUGGGUUUACAUUGCUCUUCCCCUUGCUAGUUGUUAUCAUGGCCAAGACCGGUCUGUCCCAGAAUUUGAAAGAACUGCAGAUUCAGGCUCCCAGCACACACACAAUACAUGCAGGUAUAUGAGUUAAUCAUGACUGAGAUCACCCAGAGCUCAUCCCAGUUUAGGUAACUGCAGUGUUAAUUAAGCUGGGACUACUGGGAUUUAUCCUCACCCUUCCAACAGGGUACUGUGCUUAUAUAUUUAUCUGUCAAAUUUAUGUCCCACACCCUCCCCACAAAGAAGCCCAGGGUGGCAAACAUUCCUGUAAUAAAAAUGCAAUUAAAAGUAAGAUAUAAAUGUAUUUAAAACAUAUUAAAACUGCUAAAAACAGCUAAAAGCAGUGUAACACAAUAAAAAUGUUGAGAUUUGCAUAAUGGGGUGAGGCCAGCUGGUCUACCAGCAGGGGUUGGGCGUUUUGCCUGCACGAAGGCCAUGCCCUGGGAGUGCCAUGCUGGCAGGCUUGGGAAGCGGGCUUGCCCCAUGGCCUAGGGCCGCUGUUCUACAGGGAGUAGUUGGCUAGGACACCAGGCUCCAUAGGGUGUUGGGCAGAGCUAUGUGCUGCGCUUGGCGAAUUCAUGCUGGUCUUGGGAAUAAGCAGCUUUGAAGAAUGGAGACUGAGGUCCUCAUGGUUCAAAAAAACUUUCUAGAGCUGCCUGUCAUCCCCCAUCCCUUUCUGGAGAUCAGGAAGGGCCAUGUCUCCAUGACGGGCUGACAGCAGUUUAUGGCUCUGCUAGGCUCCCAUCUCACCCUGGUGCUAACCAGUAGGUUCCCAUUUGAUGGCUGUGAAAGAGCAGGCGAGCUCUUACCUAUGAUAGAUAAAUAGACCCGACCCCCCCCCCCCCCAAGUUCUAAUUCCAAGGAGCACACUCAGGAGCCAAGAAUGAUUGAUAGAUAACUGCUUGAAAUGUCCAAAUGAAUUUGUACCUGAAAGGAUUGUGCUGCCAAUUUAACAGGAGCCGGCAAUUAAAAAACAAAACGAAACAUACUAUGGGAUGACAGCAAAGGAAAACAUGAGAGGGCACGUCCAGACUGCCAGUAUUUUGCAGGAGGGAUUCAAGUACAUUCUGGGACGUUAGGUUUGCACAACUGAAGUGGGUUAAAGUGCUCUGACACCCCAGCAUAACCAAUUCAAAGAAAGAAAGAAAACAAACAAACAAACAAACAAACAGACUAAGUGACAGGGGAUAAAACAAAUUCUUAAUGGGAAGAUGUUUAAACCCCCUGCAAGCAAAUCCAGGUGAAUUCAGAAAGAAUGCUCAUUAUUGUACAACCUCCCCACAAAUCAGAAUGAAUGCUCACCGAAGACCAAAUAUAAUCUAACAUCUGCCUAAGCUUUGUGCAAGGAAAUCAGGAUGAAUGCUCAAUAAGUAGGUUGUCUGAAGGAGUCCAGAUUGCAGUGGUUUUGGAGGAAUGUCUUCUAGAUUGUCAGGAAUCGAUGAAAGGGUAUAUGCCAGCGGAAGAAAGCUAGUGUGAAAUGGUCCACUGUUAUUGAAUCCUUUAGCUAUCCUUUCCUAUCCACCCCUGUAGUAAUCUCAUGUUAGAAUUCAUGCUGCAAUCCAGGACCAGGUCACCUGCUUUCUUUUGCUGUUAACUCUUCACAGGUUAGCUUUUCUCCAUCAUUUUUGGUGGUGGAAAGCUUUGACAGACACCUAUGGCGACCACAAGUCUCCAGGCCUUGGCCCUUUCAAGUUUCCAGUCAUUUUCCAGGUUCUAAUGAAGGUGGUCUUUUCAGUUCAUGCUAAAGGCCUUAUUGCCACACCAAAGUAAAUAGCAGGCGAAACUCAACGCAAAUUUGUGCUCAAGAAGAAAAGGUGGUAUGAGUACUUUCUCAGGCUCCAACCCUGUAAAGUUUAGCUGCUGCAAAGGCAACAUGUUACCCGUCCCAGAACACCUUCUACAAUUUGUAUCGAGUCCAUCCAGACCUUAGCUAGCUUUGUUCAUCCACAGCCUUACAGGGCCUGAAUUUGAGAGUCUCUGAAAUCAAAUGUAUCCAGUUAGUUAACCAAAUGGCUUUGCUGCUAUGAAUUUAUACUUUUUUAGUUUUAAAUGACUAAGAAAAAAUUUAUAAGCAAUAAUGUGCACAUUGUAUUUUAUUGUCGACAUUAAGGAUGUGAAUUCAGCUUUCAAACAUGAGGCUUAAAACUGCUUCUCCCAAAAAUUGGUUUGUAAUGUGAAUAUCACACCUACUUUGUCAGAAUGCUCCUUUGCAACACAGGGGCCUCUUGUCCACCAGAUAUUAUCAGAGAGGAGCUCAAAGUGAAUUUAAACUUGACAUGUGAGAGGAGCAAGGGACCUGUGGUCCUCCAGAUAUUGUUGGACUAAAACUCCCACCGGAAGGUGGUUUUUAAUGGUCCACUUUGACGCUGAGGCUGCAGCAGGGACUGCCUCAAGGAAAGGCACAUUUCCCCCUUAUCCACAGCAUACUGUCAUCUUAUUGUAAGAAGCUAGACCUCUGAACCGCGCAAUCUGUACUGGUUCAUCAUUGCCAGUUCCCUCUGCCAUGGAACCAAUGUUGCCUGAAGUAUACUGCUUUUCAGAGUAACAUAAAAUAUCAGAGAACACAGACAUUUCCCCACUUGUGCACAGCCAGCAUACGCGCUCCUGCUGACACAAAUGCCAAAAACAGUGCCAAAAGGAGGCAGGGUCAGAACAGGGUGGAGGAAUAUCCACUUGGGCGUGUUCCUUGAACAACCGCCCCCCUCCGUAAGUGGGGAUUCCUCUGUAUCUCCCCACUCCCUCCCCUCCUCUGGACUCCUGCUCUCAAAUCCACUUGAUCCACAACUUUUUCCUUCCCAAACACACCAGCUCAACUUUCCCUGACAAUCUGUUUCAACGAUGGACAACUCCCACCUUGCCCUAGUCCAUUCGCAUUUAUGAGUUGGAAGAGGCUGGAGGACCUUUCUAGAGUGCUGGACUAGGACCUGGGAGGCACUGGCGGAGGAACAGGGGUGUGGGGGGAGCGCACUGCCCCUGAUGGCAUGAUCCCAGUGGAGUGCCAUCGCGGCUCCCCCCUUGCGCUGGGUGCCACGCCCCUGCAGGCGGUGCGCCAUACCCCCAGGACACGCACCACGCCCCCAGGACACAUGCCAGCCAUGCCCCUGCCUGCUCUCCGCCACCCCCACUGGAGCUUGAAGCUCCGCCACUGCUGGGAGGCCAGGGUUCAAAUCUGUGCUCAGCUAUGAAACUCACUGAUUCCCUUGGGCCAGUCAUGGUCUCUCAACCUAACCUACCUCUCAGAAUUGUUGUGAGGAUAAAAUAGGGAGGAAGAAGUGGGACAGGUCAGUUGGUAGAGCAUGAGACUCUUUAAUCGCAGGGUCGUGGGUUCAAGCCCCACGUUGGGCGAAAGAUUCCUGCCCUGCAGGGGGUAGGACUAGAUGAUACUCGUGGUCCCUUCCAGCUCUACAGUUCUGUUAUUCUAAGAGAACCCCGAAUGACUCCUUGAAGGAAAGGUGGGAUAUAAAUGCAAUGAAUGAAUGAAUGAAUGAAUACAAAUCAUAAACAAAUAGGUUUCUCUAACCUAGUAAUCAAUAAAUCUGUUUGCCCAUAUAAACAUCCACCCAAUUAUCCCAACUUCUUGUACACAAAUAUCUAUUUGUAUCUGUCCUCAUACACAUGCAGCCUGGAUUAACCCUGUUCUCAUUACUGGAAGAAGUCUUGUGCUUGUCUGCUCACACACAGAUACAAGCUGGGGACUAGUGGUGGUGGGAUGGUGGAUUUUGCCACACACAGUUCUGAGCUGCCUUUUUAUCAAGCCUGGGAUCUCAGCGGCACUUGCUAAUCCAGCCAUUACAUCACAUUCCUUCUGUGUGUGUGUGUGUGUGUGUGUGUGUGUGUGUGUGCAGGCACAUGCAGUUAACCCUACAGAGGCUAAAUUGGCCUAGGUUAAGGAUGGUGCUAAUCAUGUUCCGGAAACAGAACGGACCUUCCCACUCCUAAUAUUGCUAUCCCUGGCCCUGGGUUUUUCUUACUGCUCUCUCUUUUCUCUCUGAUUUGUUUUACCUGUGUAGUUUCUUUUUUACAUUCCAGAGGCUAAUAGUUAUUUAAAUUCAAAUGGAAUGAUGUAGGCAAAUGAGUGACUGCAUCCCACCCACUAUUUGCCCCUAAUUAUGUUGGAUGAGGGGAAAUAUUGCAUAUGCUCUACACCCAAAAACGAAUAUGAAGGAUUAAGCAGCAGUGAGGAAGCUAAAGUUCAAGCUAUUCUGCCUCUCUUUCAAAUUUAUUUCUGGGCAAACAUUAAGGGCCCAGGUAGCAUUAGUAAUUAUACAUAUUUUUGAAGAGAUUUAUUUCGGUACCACCAACAUUAAGGGGGGAAAUGCCAUGGUGAUGAACAGCAUAAAACCAACAAUAAAAAGACAUUCAUUAAAACAAGUAGAAGAUGCAUUUGUUCCCUGCUCUUACCUGCUGCCUUGCAGGACAUCUUCAGGAAAGGAAAAGGCUAAGGCGUAAACCCUACACAAAUCCCGAGUGGAGUGCCUAAGAUGGUUGGGUGGCGCUUUGUCUGCCUCCUUCCGGCAACUCCUGCAGCCAAGCUGGAGCCAACUGCGUUGCUCUGCUUUCCUUUGGAGGUGGAGAGUGGGGGGUCUUGUCGUCUGGGCAACCUAGGACCUUCAUACACACUGCCUAGGCUUGCACCCUGGGGAGGUCACUUUGGUGCAGCAAAUGCAGCAAAAACAACGCGGGAGGCAGCAGUUAUAAGUUAUAAGCUCAAGCUGAUUAGUGUAAGGUAUGCUACAGCCACAGCAGGUGCUGUGACUCUCCAAUGGUUUGAUUUCACCCCCAAAUGCGCACUCCUCCAUUAUCUCACAAGACAGAUGGAUGCCAACAAUGUGACCCCCCCUUCAGCACUCCCACUCCCCACGACAGCUUACCCUCAUAUACAACAGUCAUUAACACGAUAACACCAAUACGCAGUUCAAAAGGAAAUUUAAAAACAUAAUGUGACACCAAUUAUU